UACCAGCACCCCCGAGUGGUCGGGACGUUUUAUUGGGCCUAAAGCAUCCGUAGCCGGUUCUACAAGUCUUCCGUUAAAUCCAACUGCUUAACAGGUGGGCUGCGGAAGAUACUAUAGAGCUAGGAGGCGGGAGAGGCAAGCGGUACUCGAUGGGUAGGGGGUAAAAUCCGUUGAUCCAUUGAAGACCACCAGUGGCGAAGGCGGCUUGCCAGAACGCGCUCGACGGUGAGGGAUGAAAGCUGGGGGAGCAAACCGG
rnacentral:rRNA from 1 species